rnacentral:lncRNA from 1 species
CCCGCAGUUCCCUGUCUGCCUGGUGCACAUUUAUCGAUGUAUACCGAGCGCGCCAAGCUCAUUUCAGUUUUACUCACGUUUCGGUGUAUAGGGUGGAGUUAAAAGAAAUAGUUGUGGAUUUUAUUGAGUGUGUGGAGAAUAAAAUGUCUAAUCGAAAUAUUUGUUCAGUGGAUGGUUGUGAAAGUCGAAUGACAGAUCAGAAAUCGUUUUUUUAAGUGCCCUAAAGGUGAAGGAAGACGAUGUACAUUUUCUUAGAGCCAGUGUUGAUGCCAUUGUUCAGACAGAACCCUUCGAAGUAAAUGAGCUAAAGCAUCCGUUACUAAAAGUUGCAGGAACCCAGACAUCAGUAAAACUUUCAGCAAAUACGCCAAGAACAGUUUUACUUAAGGAGAAAGUAAAAACACUAGAAAAAACUAUAACUACCCACACUUGUAAAAGAAGCCUUAAAAGAGAAAUUACCAUGGAUGACGUUCUGAAAUUUUUGGAAUCAAAUUUUUCUGAAGAAACAUGGAAUCUGUUAAAAAUUCAAAUGUUAUUGCUGAAUAAGGACUCAAAAGGACGCAGGUAUACCAAUGAAUUUAAACAGUUUGCUCUAAGUUUGUUUUUUCUGGGUCCAAAAGCUUACAAAAAAAAUUCCACAGUUUAUCCUCUACCAUCAAAAUCUAAAUUAAACCGUUUUACGCAACAAUGGGUAAUUAAUUCAGGUUUUAACGAGUUUGUUUUUAAAGUAAUUAAAUGUAGAGUAAAAUUGUUGCAGGAAAAAGAAAGAGACUGUAUUUUAAGUAUGGACGAAAUAUCUUUAAGAUCUCACCUUUUUUAUGAUAUUUCUAAAGACAAAAAUGUAGGGUUUGGUUCAGGGUCAUAUAAAGUUGCAGGAAGUGCAUUAACGAUAAUGGCAAAGGGAAUUGCUAGCAAUUGAAAACAACCCAUUGCCUAUUUUUUUUAUAAUACAUCUGCACCUGUUAAUCAUUUAAUAGAUAUUUUAUUUAAAACUCUCCGAAGGAUACGCAAAACCGGUUUAGAUAUUUUUGGAGUUGUAUCAGAUCGGGGUACUAAUUUUCAAAACCUAGCUAAAAGUUCUUUAAAAGUGACAAUAGAUAAUCCCACAUUCUUUGUUGACGAUGAAAAUUUAAAACUAGUUUAUUUAUUUGAUGCUCCCCACUUACUCAAGUUGACAAAAAAUAAUUUUUUUCAACACAUUUUUUGUUUAAAUGAAGAAGAAACAAGUAAAAAAUAUUUAGAAAUGAUGUAUAAUAUUGACAAAAAGAAGCAGUUCAAAAUGGCCCAUAAAUUAACAAACGACCAUAUUUAUCCUAAUAAAUUUUAAAAAAUGAAAGUAAAGUUAGCUUCGCAAGUAUUUAGCCGCUCUGUAGCGGUAGCUAUACAUACUUGUAUUGAAUUUAACGCCUUGCCAAAAGAAGCAACUAUAACAGCCAAUUUUAUAUUUAAAAUGAAUAAUCUAUUUGAUUUAUUAAACUCCAACAACUUACAAGAUUUUCAAGCUUUCAUGGGAACUGAAAAACAAAAAACGUUAUUGCAAGAUAUGGAAUACCUUUUUAAAAACUUAAAAGUAAAAAUAUGACAAAUAGGACAAAAUUUAUUUCUGGGUGGCGGCUUACAGUAAGAUCAAUUUUAAUUCUUUGGGAAAUAUUACAAAAAAAAAGGUUUUGAUAUUGAUUUACAUGUAAUCUCAAUCAAGAUUGCCUCGAGCACUUCUUUGGUGAAAUUAGAAAUUGUUGUGGAAAUUCAAAGAAUCCUACUCCUAUUCAAUUCUGUCGAUCCUUUAAAAAGGUUUUUGCGUUAGGAUAUUUUGAUAAUGUCGAAACAGCUAAUUGUAUAGAUGAUGGCGCUAAAGCCCUACUAAAUUCAAAUCCCGAUUUUAUUAAGAGUUGCAAUAAUAUAUGCAAUUAUUCUCCCACUAAAUAUAUUCCUCUUCGAGUUUUUACCAACGAUUAUGUAAAUUUAAAAAGCGCAGAAGGAAAUGCUUUAGUAUAUGUAGCUGGAUAUUUAUUUAAAAAAUGUCUCUCACGUCACUCUUGUGAUAUAUGCAAUAAUUUUGCAACUGAGUCAAAUGCCCUGUUUAAUGAAGAGUUAUUUUAUUGUAAAUUAAAAGCAUAUAAAAAUAAUACCUUAUUUGGUGGUCUAACCAUACCUCCAAAAGACAUUAUUGAGUACAUAAUAAAAUUAGAAAGUAUUUUUAUCGCUGAAUUUAAUAAAUUAUGAGCGCAAGAAGCAA